rnacentral:rRNA from 1 species
GGUUACGAUCAUGCCAGCACUAAUGCACCGGAUCCCUUCAGAACUCCGCAGUUAAGCAUGCUUGGGCGAGAGUAGUACUAGGAUGGGUGACCCCCUGGGAAGUCCUCGUGUUGCAACCC